UAACCGGUUUCCCCGGACCUUGCACACACCGCCCGUCAAGCCAUGGAAGCUGGGUGUACCUAAAGUCGGUAACCGCAAGGAGCCGCCUAGGGUAAAACUAGUGACUGGGGCU
rnacentral:rRNA from 1 species